rnacentral:lncRNA from 1 species
AAAAGAAAUGAAAAUGAAUGUGGUAUAAUAGUAAUGGGCCAGGCAGGGAGGUGUGGAUAGUGGUAGCGCGCUAGGCCCGGUCCAAGUAUUUAUUCCAGUGUGACACCAUAAAAAUAAACGUACAGCUUAUUAAAUCAUGUAACACACCAUCAACCGGUCAAGUGUAUAUAAGUCACAAAAGACAUAAUAGGAAAUGGAUGGACAAGAUCA